CGGGACGGGUGAGUAAUGUCUGGGAAACGUGCCUGAUGAGGGGGAGUAACUACUGGAACGGUAGCUAAUACCGCAUAACGUCGCAAGACCAAAGAGGGGGACCUUCGGGCCUCUUGCCAUCGGAUGUGCCCAGAUGGGAUUAGCUAGUAGGUGGGGUAACGGCUCACCUAGGCGACGAUCCCUAGCUGGUCUGAGAGGAUGACCAGCCACACUGGAACUGAGACACGGUCCAG
rnacentral:rRNA from 1 species